rnacentral:tRNA from 1 species
GGGCCGGUAGCUCAAUGGUAGAGCACUGCCCUUUUAAGGCAGGGGUUCUGGGUUCGAGUCCCAGCCGGCUCACCA